rnacentral:rRNA from 1 species
GAUGAACGCUGGCGGCGUGCUUAACACAUGCAAGUCGAACGAAGCACUUUAUUUGAUUUCCUUCGGGACUGAUCAUUUUGUGACUGAGUGGCGGACGGGUGAGUAACGCGUGGGUAACCUGCCUUUUACAGGGGGAUAACAGUUGGCAACGGCUGCUAAUACCGCAUAAGCGCACAGCAUCGCAUGAUGCAGUGUGAAAAACUCCGGUGGUAUAAGAUGGACCCGCGUUGGAUUAGCUAGUUGGUGAGUUAACGGCCCACCAAGGCGACGAUCCAUAGCCGACCUGUGAGGGUGACCGGACACAUUGGGACUGAGACACGGCCCAAACUCCUACGGGAGGCAGCAGUGGGGAAUAUUGCACAAUGGGCGAAAGCCUGAUGCAGCGACGCCGCGUGAGCGAAGAAGUAUUUCGGUAUGUAAAGCUCUAUCAGCAGGGAAGAUAAUGACGGUACCUGACUAAGAAGCACCGGCUAAAUACGUG